rnacentral:rRNA from 1 species
AUUGAACGCUGGCGGCAGGCUUAACACAUGCAAGUCGAGCGGAGAUGAGGUGCUUGCACCUUAUCUUAGCGGCGGACGGGUGAGUAAUGCUUAGGAAUCUGCCUAUUAGUGGGGGACAACAUUCCGAAAGGAAUGCUAAUACCGCAUACGUCCUACGGGAGAAAGCAGGGGAUCUUCGGACCUUGCGCUAAUAGAUGAGCCUAAGUCGGAUUAGCUAGUUGGUGGGGUAAAGGCCUACCAAGGCGACGAUCUGUAGCGGGUCUGAGAGGAUGAUCCGCCACACUGGAACUGAGACACGGCCCAGACUCCUACGGGAGGCAGCAGUGGGGAAUAUUGGACAAUGGGGGGAACCCUGAUCCAGCCAUGCCGCGUGUGUGAAGAAGGCCUUAUGGUUGUAAAGCACUUUAAGCGAGGAGGAGGCUACUGAGACUAAUACUCUUGGAUAGUGGACGUUACUCGCAGAAUAAGCACCGGCUAACUCUGUGCCAGCAGCCGCGGUAAGAC